GAUGAACGCUGGCGGCGUGCCUAAUACAUGCAAGUCGAGCGAACAGAUGAGGAGCUUGCUCCUCUGACGUUAGCGGCGGACGGGUGAGUAACACGUGGAUAACCUACCUAUAAGACUGGGAUAACUUCGGGAAACCGGAGCUAAUACCGGAUAAUAUAUUGAACCGCAUGGCUCAAUAGUGAAAGACGGUUUUGCUGUCACUUAUAGAUGGAUCCGCGCCGCAUUAGCUAGUUGGUAAGGUAACGGCUUACCAAGGCAACGAUGCGUAGCCGACCUGAGAGGGUGAUCGGCCACACUGGAACUGAGACACGGUCCAGACUCCUACGGGAGGCAGCAGUAGGGAAUCUUCCGCAAUGGGCGAAAGCCUGACGGAGCAACGCCGCGUGAGUGAUGAAGGUCUUCGGAUCGUAAAACCCUGUUAUUAGGGAAGAACAAAUGUGUAAGUAACUAUGCACGUCUUGACGGUACCCAAUCAGAAAGCCACGGCUAACUACGUG
rnacentral:rRNA from 1 species